GCCUCUUCAAUUAUGACAUAGCUAGAUGACAUUUUCAAGUUUGAACCUCAAUUAACAUUUCUUAAUCAUGCUGUUAGUUACUUCACAUACGCGCAAACUCUCGAAGCAUUGAAAUCCUUCAAUUAUAUAUAAUUUAAAAUAAACGAAUAAUUCUCUAGUUUCUCAACGUAACACGGGGCAUCGUGAGUAAUGAAAAAUUAUUCUUUUAUUUUUUUAUUUUUUGGGUCAACCAGUCAACCUCAAACUACCUCCAAAUUGAAGUUGAACCUAUGUUGAUGUUGCCCACCACUCUUUUUUUUUUUUUUCUAUUUUCUUUCCAAAUUCUCAUAGCAUGCACUUUUUCUUGUGAUAAAAGCAUGAGCCAAAGAUCAUCCCUCCAAUCGACUAAUGCCCAUUUUUUGUAUCCUAAGUGGAGAAAACCUAAAUCGUUAUAUAUUAUUUAUUCAGGCAAAAUUUGAAGAUCCCGCUACUGAAAACGGUAACCUAGCCCGCCGUUUGAAAUUUGCAAUCCACUUGAAGCAUCGGUCUGUGUAAUCUGAUCACGACUUUCCAUCAUCACGUGCACAUGUCUUGGUAAGGUAAAACCGAUACAUCCUGUUCAAGUCAAUCCGGCAUGCCGGCCACUUAUCCUUUUCAGCAAUGGGAUGCACAAAUACAAGUUCAAUAUUUUGACAUUACAAAUUUACACCCGCCUCGUGUUUGCAAGCCAUGACCCAGCACCUAUCCCAAUUACAACGUUACGUGGCCUCUUCUGUAACCCUAACAGUAGACACAUUGAAUAAUUAUGGGCCAGUCGGUCACCCCUUUAUUGAAUCGGUGGUGCGAGAGCAUGACACGCAUCCUCUCGAGUCAUUGUCAACCGUUCAUAAGAUUCCGUUUGUGGUGGGCUCAGGCCACGUGGGUGAGAACUGAGUCUGAGCCGAGUGUUGCAGAAAAGUUUGGCAUUGAGGGAUAUAAACCCUUAUCCAUCCGUCUGAGAGAAAGUAUCAAAAAUAAAUUAACACUUUGAAUGCAUGCAUACUGACUGAUUUGUGACCCCAUUACAGGUUGGAGAUUUAUGAUUGGGACGGAUUAGGAAAUUAAAGCUGCAACAACAAGGGGCCGGGCAUGCAUGGUAUUGGUUCCUAGAAAUUUGUUUGGGCUAUGAGAAUGUUGCGAAUGCGAAUGCGAUUCAAUAAAAAUCCAAGCUGUCGGGGGAGGAUUUUUUUUUUUUUAACCUUCUUUCGCCCCUAUUUGUCAUAAAUGGAGAUUGGAGAACCGUCAUGAGUUGAGUGGGGAUCGAUAUCAUCAAUCCGUCGUAGAAAGCUUGAACAAGAAUCAUGAUGAAUGUGUAGCAUGUUACCCGCCUGGAGGAAAUGGUCGAAAAUCUCAUAUCUGUAUAUAUAAGCUUCCAUUCAGAAACAAACUGCCACAUGUGUCUUACAUAUAUAUUAGCAAAAUAAAUAUAAUAUUACUCAAUAUUUUACAUCACAAAUUUACUAAUAAAUAUAUCUUAAGUCUUAUCAGUCCAUUCUAAUGUAUGUCAGUCCUUUCUGGAUGUAUCAAAAUUGAAGUUUCAAUUCAUAAAUUUGUUUACAAAGAAGGAGAAAGAAGGAGAAAGUAUACUUCCACAAACAUUUGUUUAUGUUCAUGUUCUAUGACAAACAUGUAUUUGCAAGGAAAAAAUAUCCCC
rnacentral:lncRNA from 1 species